rnacentral:rRNA from 1 species
ACAAAACAACUAGCAUUAAACUAAAACCUAACAUAAUCAAAACAUUAUUAAACUAAGUAAAGGUGAUUAAAAGUUAUUAUUUAUGCCCUCAAAAAGUACUGCAAAGGAAACAAAUAAGUCAAAAAAAAGAAAAAAUAAAUCUUUGUACCUUUUGCAUCAUGGUUUAACUAGAUUUAAAUUUUAUAUACAACUUCUCGAAAUCUAAUGAGCUAUCUUUGAUCAUUAUCUUAGAAAAAUAAAGAUAGUUGUAGCAAAAACUUCUUUAGAAUCAAAGAUAGAAAUGAAAUUUUUUUCGUAUUAGAUGAUAGCUAGUUCUUCUUAAAAAGCAUAGAAGUGCUCUAAACUAAUUUUUUUAAGUAAUUAUACUACUAAUUCAACUUUAGUUUAUCUAAGUUUUUGAGGAUAAGCUCGAAAACACAAUAACAUUUGCAUUUAAUUUAUAUUUAAAUUUAAGCCUGAAAAUAGCUACAAUUUCAGAUUUUGUUAUAAUCCCAUUUCAACUAUAAAAAUAUAAUUAAUUUGCUAAAUCUUAAAGAAGAAAAUUCAAAAAUUAAAUAAAGAAUUAUCUAUAUGUUAAAAUGAGUAUUUUAUAUAUUAUAAGUAGUAAAAGCUAUUAAAACUUUUGACUAUAUUCUACGUAUACAAUUAAAAUCAUAAAAAGGAACUCGGCAAACAAAUAUUCUGCCUGUUUAUCAAAAACAUGGCUCCUUGUUAAUAUUUAAAUAAGGAGUCAGACCUGCCCAGUGAAUUUUUUCAACGGCCGCGGUACUCUGACCGUGCAAAGGUAGCAUAAUCAUUUGCCUUAUAAUUGAAGGCUAGUAUGAAUGGUUUGACAAGAAUAUAGCUGUCUCUUUUAGAUUCGAUAGAAUUUUAUCUUAAGGUGAAGAAGCCUUAAUACAAUUAAAAGACAAGAAGACCCUGUCGAGCUUUAAAAAAAUUAGGAGACACUAGUUAAUAAGUUUUAAAAAACUAACUUCAAAAAAUUUUGGUUGGGGCGACCGGGGAACAAACAAAGCUUCCUUCAAAAUAAAAAUAUACAAAUAUUGAUCCAAAACUUUUGAUUAAAGAAAUUAGUUACCGCAGGGAUAACAGCAUUAUCUUUUUUAAGAGCUCUUAUCGAAAAAAAGGUUUGUGACCUCGAUGUUGGACCAGAAUAUCCUAAAGGUGCAGAAGCCUUUAAGGGUUGGUCUGUUCGACCAUUAAAAUUCUACGUGAUCUGAGUUCAGACCGGCGUGAGCCAGGUCAGUUUCUAUCUUUAAUUCAUUUUAGUACACUUAGUACGAAAGGACCAGUAUACUACAUCAAGUUGUUUUACCAUGAAAAAAUAUAACACAAAAAUAAAUUUAUA